rnacentral:rRNA from 1 species
AUUGAACGCUGGCGGCAGGCUUAACACAUGCAAGUCGAGCGGAGAGAAGUAGCUUGCUACUGAUCUUAGCGGCGGACGGGUGAGUAAUGCUUAGGAAUCUGCCUAUAGAGGGGGACAACAUUUCGAAAGGAAUGCUAAUACCGCAUACGUCCUACGGGAGAAAGCAGGGGAUCUUCGGACCUUGCGCUAAUAGAUGAGCCUAAGUCGGAUUAGCUAGUUGGUGGGGUAAAGGCCUACCAAGGCGACGAUCUGUAGCGGGUCUGAGAGGAUGAUCCGCCACACUGGGACUGAGACACGGCCCAGACUCCUACGGGAGGCAGCAGUGGGGAAUAUUGGACAAUGGGCGGAAGCCUGAUCCAGCCAUGCCGCGUGUGUGAAGAAGGCCUUAUGGUUGUAAAGCACUUUAAGCGAGGAGGAGGCUACUUUAGUUAAUACCUAGAGAUAGUGGACGUUACUCGCAGAAUAAGCACCGGCUAACUCUGUGCCAGCAGCCGCGGUAAAAC